UAGAGCACUCAAGCCUCCUGCGGA
rnacentral:misc_RNA from 1 species